rnacentral:rRNA from 1 species
CUUAACACAUGCAAGUCGAACGAUGAAGCCCAGCUUGCUGGGUGGAUUAGUGGCGAACGGGUGAGUAACACGUGAGUAACCUGCCCCCCUCUUCGGGAUAAGCCUUGGAAACGGGGUCUAAUACCGGAUAUUCAGUCUCUGCCGCAUGGUGGGGGUUGGAAAGAUUUAUUGGUGGGGGAUGGGCUCGCGGCCUAUCAGCUUGUUGGUGGGGUGAUGGCCUACCAAGGCGUCGACGGGUAGCCGGCCUGAGAGGGCGACCGGCCACACUGGGACUGAGACACGGCCCAGACUCCUACGGGAGGCAGCAGUGGGGAAUAUUGCACAAUGGGCGAAAGCCUGAUGCAGCGACGCCGCGUGAGGGAUGACGGCCUUCGGGUUGUAAACCUCUUUCGACAAGGAAGAAGCUUUCGGGUGACGGUACUUGUAGAAGAAGCGCCGGCUAACUACGUGCCAGCAGCCGCGGUAAUACGUAGGGCGCAAGCGUUGUCCGGAAUUAUUGGGCGUAAAGAGCUCGUAGGCGGUCUGUCGCGUCUGGUGUGAAAACCCGAGGCUCAACCUCGGGCUGGCAUCGGGUACGGGCAGGCUGGAGUUGCCGUAGGG